rnacentral:rRNA from 1 species
CCUACGGGAGGCAGCAGUGGGGAAUAUUGGACAAUGGGGGGAACCCUGAUCCAGCCAUGCCGCGUGUGUGAAGAAGGCCCUCGGGUUGUAAAGCACUUUCAGUGAGGAAGAACGCCUGGUGGUUAAUACCCAUCAGGAAAGACAUCACUCACAGAAGAAGCACCGGCUAACUCCGUGCCAGCAGCCGCGGUAAUACGGAGGGUGCGAGCGUUAAUCGGAAUUACUGGGCGUAAAGCGCGCGUAGGUGGCUUGAUAAGCCGGUUGUGAAAGCCCCGGGCUCAACCUGGGAACGGCAUCCGGAACUGUCAAGCUAGAGUGCAGGAGAGGAAGGUAAAAUUCCCGGUGUAGCGGUGAAGUGCGUAGAGAUCGGGAGGAAUACCAGUGGCGAAGGCGGCCUUCUGGACUGACACUGACACUGAGGUGCGAAAGCGUGGGUAGCAAACAGGAUUAGAUACCCUUGUAGUC